rnacentral:rRNA from 1 species
AGAGAGAGACAUGCGCGCAUAUCAAUAAGCGGAGGAAAAGAAACUAACAAGGAUUCCCUCAGUAACGGCGAGUGAAGCGGGAAGAGCUCAAAUUUGAAAUCUUCAAGGUUCUACCUUGACGAAUUGUAGUUUAAAGAAGUGUUUUCUGUUGAAGUUUUGGUAAAAGUUCUUUGGAAUAGGACAUCAUAGAGGGUGAGAAUCCCGUAUUUGACCAUUAUUUCCAGCUUUGUGAUACACUUUCAAAGAGUCGGAUUGUUUGGGAAUGCAGUCCAAAAUGGGUGGUAAAUUUCAUCUAAAGCUAAAUAUUGGCGAGAGACCGAUAGCGAACAAGUACCGUGAGGGAAAGAUGAAAAGAACUUUGAAAAGAGAGUUAAACAGUACGUGAAAUUGUCAAAAGGGAAGCGUUUGACACCAGUGUUGUUUUCUCGAAAAUCAAUUAAAAAUGGCUCGAUUUUGUAUUGUUGAGACCUUAAAAGCUCACUGUACAUUUUUCGUGUCUUUUUUAAUGCACUUUUCGUUUAACAAGUCAACAUCAGUUUCUUUUGUUGUAAAAGGGUCAUUGGAAGGUGGCUUUCUUUUCGGAGAAAGUGUUUAUAGCCUUUGGCCUCUGCAAUCGGAAGAGACUGAGGUCUGCAGCGUAGACUCUUCGGGGUUAGAUACAUUUGUGCUAAGUUAUAGCUUUUUAUAGACAACUUGUUGACUAUGAUUAGUCAUUGUAGCUUACUCGCUUAUGCUAUUUUACCUACGCUUAGGAUGUUGAGUCGUAGAGCACGCAG